rnacentral:rRNA from 1 species
UCCUGACUGACCGAUAGUGAACCAGUACCGUGAGGGAAAGGCGAAAAGAACCCCGGCGAGGGGAGUGAAAAAGAACCUGAAACCGUGUACGUACAAGCAGUGGGAGCACGCUUAGGCGUGUGACUGCGUACCUUUUGUAUAAUGGGUCAGCGACUUAUAUUCUGUAGCAAGGUUAACCGAAUAGGGGAGCCGAAGGGAAACCGAGUCUUAACUGGGCGUUAAGUUGCAGGGUAUAGACCCGAAACCCGGUGAUCUAGCCAUGGGCAGGUUGAAGGUUGGGUAACACUAACUGGAGGACCGAACCGACUAAUGUUGAAAAAUUAGCGGAUGACUUGUGGCUGGGGGUGAAAGGCCAAUCAAACCGGGAGAUAGCUGGUUCUCCCCGAAAGCUAUUUAGGUAGCGCCUCGUGAAUUCAUCUCCGGGGGUAGAGCACUGUUUCGGCAAGGGGGUCAUCCCGACUUACCAACCCGAUGCAAACUGCGAAUACCGGAGAAUGUUAUCACGGGAGACACACGGCGGGUGCUAACGUCCGUCGUGAAGAGGGAAACAACCCAGACCGCCAGCUAAGGUCCCAAAGUCAUGGUUAAGUGGGAAACGAUGUGGGAAGGCCCAGACAGCCAGGAUGUUGGCUUAGAAGCAGCCAUCAUUUAAAGAAAGCGUAAUAGCUCACUGGUCGAGUCGGCCUGCGCGGAAGAUGUAACGGGGCUAAACCAUGCACCGAAGCUGCGGCAGCGACGCUUAUGCGUUGUUGGGUAGGGGAGCGUUCUGUAAGCCUGCGAAGGUGUGCUGUGAGGCAUGCUGGAGGUAUCAGAAGUGCGAAUGCUGACAUAAGUAACGAUAAAGCGGGUGAAAAGCCCGCUCGCCGGAAGACCAAGGGUUCCUGUCCAACGUUAAUCGGGGCAGGGUGAGUCGACCCCUAAGACGAGGCCGAAAGGCGUAGUCGAUGGGAAACAGGUUAAUAUUCCUGUACUUGGUGUUACUGCGAAGGGGGGACGGAGAAGGCUAUGUUGGCCGGGCGACGGUUGUCCCGGUUUAAGCGUGUAGGCUGGUUUUCCAGGCAAAUCCGGAAAAUCAAGGCUGAGGCGUGAUGACGAGGCACUACGGUGCUGAAGCAACAAAUGCCCUGCUUCCAGGAAAAGCCUCUAAGCAUCAGGUAACAUCAAAUCGUACCCCAAACCGACACAGGUGGUCAGGUAGAGAAUACCAAGGCGCUUGAGAGAACUCGGGUGAAGGAACUAGGCAAAAUGGUGCCGUAACUUCGGGAGAAGGCACGCUGAUAUGUAGGUGAAGUCCCUUGCGGAUGGAGCUGAAAUCAGUCGAAGAUACCAGCUGGCUGCAACUGUUUAUUAAAAACACAGCACUGUGCAAACACGAAAGUGGACGUAUACGGUGUGACGCCUGCCCGGUGCCGGAAGGUUAAUUGAUGGGGUCAGCGCAAGCGAAGCUCUUGAUCGAAGCCCCGGUAAACGGCGGCCGUAACUAUAACGGUCCUAAGGUAGCGAAAUUCCUUGUCGGGUAAGUUCCGACCUGCACGAAUGGCGUAAUGAUGGCCAGGCUGUCUCCACCCGAGACUCAGUGAAAUUGAACUCGCUGUGAAGAUGCAGUGUACCCGCGGCAAGACGGAAAGACCCCGUGAACCUUUACUAUAGCUUGACACUGAACAUUGAGCCUUGAUGUGUAGGAUAGGUGGGAGGCUUUGAAGUG